UGUCUCAUUAACCAGAUGACCCGCAGACGUUGUCAGCACUACCCAGCGAGGUGAUUGAUGGCCAGAGAAUAAAGGCAACACCUAUCAAAGGGUCAUUCUAUCCCCAAAGGGUCAUGACCCACAGGUUGUAAACCACUGAUCUGGAGGUCCCAGCUCGAGGCAAAGACUCAUUCAGAGUCAGCAAAUGAAGACCAUCACAGAAAACCACCACUGAACACAAUGAACAGACCAAUGCACCACUGGGAGCCUAAUGGGUACACCUGUCUCAGCUCCUGCAUCUAUGAUUCAGAGAAUAACACUGAAGAGGAACAGAAAGAUAUGCUGAGCCGGAUGGGCAACUGUUGGGCAGGUGAACGGAAUUUUAGGUAAGAACUGGGAAAUAGUAAGAGCUGGAGAGGACAGGGUCUCCACAAGGAGAGCAACAGAAC